rnacentral:lncRNA from 1 species
AAAUAGGAACUCACCCCUCACCAUCACCACCACUGUAUUUGUGGCACAGGGAAGUUUUAGAACCAGUGGAUGACAUACAGUAAACAGCAACCUGUUUGGCCUCAAAUGAUGAGACCAAUGUGGCACAUGGAAAUACAACCUAGGUGGAGCUACCAUAAGAGAAGAAAGAAUCAUCCAGCAAACGAGUCCUUGGUGAUUGUACACUGA